rnacentral:rRNA from 1 species
UUACCAGGUCUUGACAUCCCUCUGACCGCUCUAGAGAUAGAGUUUUCCUUCGGGACAGAGGUGACAGGUGGUGCAUGGUUGUCGUCAGCUCGUGUCGUGAGAUGUUGGGUUAAGUCCCGCAACGAGCGCAACCCCUAUUGUUAGUUGCCAUCAUUCAGUUGGGCACUCUAGCGAGACUGCCGGUAAUAAACCGGAGGAAGGUGGGGAUGACGUCAAAUCAUCAUGCCCCUUAUGACCUGGGCUACACACGUGCUACAAUGGCUGGUACAACGAGUCGCAAGCCGGUGACGGCAAGCUAAUCUCUUAAAGCCAGUCUCAGUUCG